rnacentral:rRNA from 1 species
GGUUCGAUCAUGGCUCAGAUUGAACGCUGGCGGGAUCGCAUGCAAGUCGAACGGCAGCACGGACUUCGGUCUGGUGGCAGUGGCGAACGGGUGAUGAACGUGCCUAGUAGCAGGGGAUAACUACGCAGCGUAGCUAAUACCACGCGCCCUUCAGGGGAAGCGGGGGACCUUCCGGGCCUCGCACUAUUAAGCCAGCCGAUAUCCGGAUUAGCCGGGUUGGUGGGGUAACGGCUCUGGGGGCGACGAUCUCGCGCUGGUUUGAGAAGGAACCAUGACAGCACACUGGGACUGAGACACGGCCCAGACUCCUACGGGAGGCAGCAGUGGAAAUUUUGGACAAAUGGGGGAAACCCUGGUCAGCCAUCCCGCGUGUGCGAUGAAGGCAUCGGGUUGUAAAGCACUUUUUGGCAGAAGAAACGGCACGGGAUAGUACCCCGUGCAACUGACCAGUACCGCAAGAAUAAGCACCAGCUAACUGGCCGCGGUGUACGGCGGGUGCAAGCGUUAAUCAGCUGGGCGUAAAGCGUGCGCAGGCGGUUCGGAAGAAAUUCUUGAAAUCCCAGAACGCUUUGGAACUGCAUUUUUAACUACCGAGCUAGAGUGUCAGAGGGAGGUGGAAUUCCGCGUGUAGCGGUGAAAUGCGUAGAUAUGCGGAGGAACACCGAUGGCGAAGGCAGCCUCCUGGGAUAACGACGCUCAUCAAAAGCGUGGGGAGCAAACAGGAUUAGAUACCUGGUAGUCCACGCCCUAAACGAUGUCAACUAGCUGUUGGGGGCCCUCGGGCCUUGGUAUUCCCAGCUAACGCGUGAAGUUGACCGCCUGGGAAGUACGGUCGCAAGAUUAAAAUAAAGGAAUUGACGGGGACCCGCACAAGCGGUGGAUGAUGUGGAUUAAUUCGAUGCAACACCCGAAAAACCUUACCCUUGACAUGUCUGGAAUCCCGAAGAAUUUGGGAGUGCUCGCAAAGAGAACCGGAACACAGGUGCUGCAUGGCGUCAGCUCGUGUCGUGAGAUGUUGGGUUAAGUCCCACAACAACCCUUGUCAUUAGUUGCUACGAAAGGCACUCUAAUGAGACUGCCAGUGACAAACCGGGAAGGUGGGGAUGACGUCAAGUCCUCGCGGCCCUUAUGGUAAACUACUACGUCAUACAAUGGUCGGGACAGAGGGUCGUAGCCCGCGAGGAGCCAAUCCGAGGAAACCCGAUCGUAGUCGGAUCGCAGUCUGCAACUCGACUGCGUGAAGUCCGGAAUCGCUAGUAAUCGCGGAUCAGCGUGUCGCGGUGAAUACGUUCCCCGCCCGUCACACCAUGGGGUGGGUUUUUUACCAGAAGCAAACCGUAAGGAGGGCGAUUACCACGGUAAGUUGACUGGGUGAAGUCGUAACAAGGUGG